AUUGAACGCUGGCGGCAGGCCUAACACAUGCAAGUCGAGCGGCAGCGGGAAAGUAGCUUGCUACUCUUGCCGGCGAGCGGCGGACGGGUGAGUAAUGCCUGGGAAAUUGCCCAGUCGAGGGGGAUAACAGUUGGAAACGACUGCUAAUACCGCAUACGCCCUACGGGGGAAAGCAGGGGACCUUCGGGCCUUGCGCGAUUGGAUAUGCCCAGGUGGGAUUAGCUAGUUGGUGAGGUAAUGGCGCACCAAGGCGACGAUCCCUAGCUGGUCUGGGCGGAUGAUCAGCCACACUGGAACUGAGACACGGUCCAGACUCCUACGGGAGGCAGCAGUGGGGAAUAUUGCACAAUGGGGGAAACCCUGAUGCAGCCAUGCCGCGUGUGUGAAGAAGGCCUUCGGGUUGUAAAGCACUUUCAGCGAGGAGGAAAGGUUGAUGCCUAAUACGUAUCAACUGUGACGCUACUCGCAGAAGAAGCACCGGCUAACUCCGUGCCAGCCGCCGCAGUAAUAC
rnacentral:rRNA from 1 species